ACUCGAAUUAUUAGUAACACUUGUGGUUCAGUCCUGGCCCUUCAUCGAAGCUUCUGUUAAUGAAGGUCAUAUUUCAUCGAGGAUUUCAAAGCCAAAGGCAGGGUGCAAGUGUGUUAGGGAAAGGCCGACUUACUACAUUGACUAUAGUCCUCAUCUCAGAAAAUAAGAUAAAGAAGAGUAGUAAACAGAUGAUCACAAAGGAGGUGUCGAUCAUACCUCAAAUGCAUACUUUUACAUUUUGUCAUGUAACUUCUGCAUUACCCAAAACUCGUUCUGAUCUCCCCUGUUCACUUAUCUAAGUCCUUUAGUUCUUGCUUUGUGAUUAUAAGAAUCACUUCUCUUUCUUGUCUUCCUCUUCUUAUCUACUCUGGUGGCCCUGGUGCUAAGCGUGGCCCAAGUGUAGGGGCAGGAAAACAUCUUUUACAUGUGGGUCCUCAGCUAUAUUCCAUACUGUUACAGAAGCAGAUUCUCUCUUCGUGAUGGCUUUUGCUUAUGUUUGCCAUUGUAUAUGCCAAGCUACCUGUAGAGAUAUCUUCUGAGUGAUUCUACUGUUUCUUAUACCUAUUUCCCUUAGGGGUACUGUGCUUACAAAUGUGUGCUACCACAUUUAGCUUUUUUGCAUGGCAUCCAGGGGUCAAACACAAAUAGUCAGAAGUAUACAAAAUGUGUUUUCACAUCGAGAAACUCUCUAGCCCUUGUUUUAAUUUUUUCGUAUUCUAAAACCUGUUAAUCAUAUUUUAACUUUAAGUUUAGUUUACUUUGUUAAUAUUUUAACUGUCCUCGUAUCUCAUUUUUGUUUCUCUCUAAAGUCUCAUUGCAUAAUACAUAAAACAAAGUUAUUGAAUCAACAAUUGCUUGAGUUUUAAUGACAGUCUAAAUUAAUUGUAAUUAGAAGAAAUUUAGGAAAUAAUCCAAUUUAGCAAUUUAUACAUAGAGAAAAAAUAAAAACACUCAAAAUUAUAAAGACCUAUAUCAAGUGUUAAGUCAUAACUUGAUUAUGAUACAUAAUAUAAAUAAUUAAUAAAUAAAUAAUACAUAUUAAAUUACAAAUAAAAAUGUAAAGAAUAUAAUGCUUUUUAAGUAAGUGAUUUUAAAAUCUGUAAUAUUAAGAAAUAACCUACAUGUAGUUUAGGAAAUUAUUUAUAGACUUUCAUCCAAACUAAUUAUACAUUGUAAAUUUAAGUUUGAUUUAUUUGUCAUAAUUAAAAAGUUAACAAAAUUGAACUUUUAGCUAUAUUAAAUGUUAGAUGAAUAUAAUUCUGAUAACUGAGUGAUUUUGAUAUAUUUCUAUUUGAUAGUUAUUUCCUGGAGUAUUGUGAUCUUAACUUUUUGGUGUUCAGUUCAGCAAAGAAACUCAACUUAGAAAAGUUUCGAGUGUAACUGGCUUUGCCCUGGGAACAAUUCCAAAACUACUCAGAGCAUAUAAAUAGUAGUUUUAAAGAGUAAAAAGAAAAAAAAAUUACCCUUUUGUCCUAGCUCAAAAUGUGUUUAAAUGUAACGUGUUUGUCCAUACAGUGACUCAUGACUGCACCAGUGCUUGAGAGCAGAUGGUAUUUUUGAAAGAAGAGAAUAUCAUUUUUUAAAAAAGAAAAUCAAAAUCAAAAUUGUGAUUUAAAGCAAGUGUUUUGGGAGCUUUUUUAUUAAGGUCCCCAGGCUCAGUCCGAUGAUAGGCUGUGAGUAUCUGCAUCUGUAUUAGUCAGGUGCUGCAGAGCCUCUCAGAGGACAACUAUACCAGGCUCCUAUCAGCAAGCACUUUUUGGCAUCAGCAAUAGUAUGGGGGUUUAAUGUCUGCAGAUAGGAAGGAUCCCUCGGUCUCUGGAUGGCCUUUCCUUCAGUCUUACCUCCAUUUUUUUCAUCCCAGAGAUUCCUUUAGAUGGGAAUAAUUUGGGGUUCAAAAUUUUGAGAUGGGUGAGUGGCCCCAUCCCUCAACUGGGGGCCGUGCUUAUCUACUGGAGGUGGUCUCUACAGAUUCUAUCUCUACUCGGUAUUUCAGGUAAUGUCAUCCACAUUGGGUCCUGAAAACCUCUUGCUUCCCUAGUGUUUGAGACUUUCUAGUGCCUACCCCUAGUUCUCCACCCAACCCCAACUGCUACACAUUUCUAUUUAUUUUCCUGAUCCUCUGGAGUUCUCUCCUGUCUCCUCCCAUACCCAAUCUUGCCCCUUCCCCCUUUCCCUCCAAUGAAGGGAUUGCAAACCCAUAAGUAGAACAAGAUCAACCAACAAUAUCAACUAACCGAAACCCCCAGAGCUCCAAGGGACUAAACCAUCAACCAAAGAGUAUACCUGGAUGGGUCCAUGGCUCCAGCUACUUAUGUAGCAGAGGUUGCCUUAUCUGGGAUCAAUGGGAGAGGAGCCCCUUGGUCUUGUGGAGGUUUGAUACCGCAGCAAAGGAUGCUAGAGGGGUGAGGUAGGCAGAAUGGGUGAGUGCAUGGAGGAGCCCUUUUAAAGGCAAAGAUGAAGGGGGAUGGGAUGUGGGGCUUGUGGAGGGGAGAUAGGGAAGGAGGCCAGCAAUUAAAUUUAAAUAAAUAGAAUAACCAAUU
rnacentral:lncRNA from 1 species